rnacentral:rRNA from 1 species
AAGAGACAGCAGUAGCCACGGUAAUACAGAGGGUGCAAGCGUUAAUCGGAAUUACUGGGCGUAAAGGGCGCGUAGGUGGUUGCGUAAGUGAGAUGUGAAAUCCCCGGGCUUAACCUGGGACGUGCGUCUUAUACUGCGUAACUGGAGUGCAAUAGAGGGUAGUGGAAUUUCCGGUGUAGCGGUGAAAUGCGUAGAUAUCGGAAGGAACACCAGUGGCGAAGGCGGCUACCUGGACUGACACUGACACUGAGGCGCGAAAGCGUGGGGAGCAAACAGGAUUAGAUACCCCCGUAGUCCCUGUCUCUUAUAC